AGGACGACAUACGAAUACGGGACGAAAGCAAAUGCUGAGCAAAUAGAACAGAGACAAGCAAUGGAGAAGAACCUUGUUUCCAUGGCUCGGGAGGUUGAGAAGCUGAGAGCAGAGCUGGAGAAGAGAGCAAGGGGACCUGACAUGAGCUACCCAGCACUGUUUCGUGAUGGUUAUGCCAGUGAGAAAGGGUUUUAUGGUACUGGUCCAUGGGCAUCCGACGAACCUCAUGGCUUUCCUCGCCAUUAAUGGGUUACAUUUUUCUACCAAGUCACUAAAUAUCUUUCCUCUUGUUUUUUUGGUGCAAUGCCUUGGAAUUAGUCUGUUGCAUGCAUUUACUUUACACUUUAGUUUUAUGCCACACUUAAACAUCAAUUGUAAGGAUUCUAUUUUGGAUUAUAGAAAAUGUUUAUCGUUGCUACUGAAUCUAACCUGUGACUGUAAUAUCUUUGACCUUUAAUUAUCAUGUGUGCUUCUAUGGGGAAAGAAUGCAGGAGAUAAUUCAUGUAGCCAAGCCCAAGUAAUUUGUUAUAUGGGAUGUUGUGUGUUAUCAAUGCAAAUUGUUUAGCUGCUUUACUCCAAUGAACAUUAUGCAUAAUCUUUAAUUCCUCUAAUUAGUUGGCAUUGGGCCUUUGAUUGUCGAGUCAUUUGGCUUUUAUCAUGCAUCAAAUGAGGGUUAGAGUUCCCCCAUCAUCAUCCGGAUGUACCGGCUUGGAAGUGAAAACUCAGAUGAGGUAUCAGUUUGAGGUAAGUGUGACAGGUCUCCUCUUCUUAUGAUCGUUCUUUUCAAUUAUUACGUACACCAGUCGUUUAAUAACAUUGAUUGAGACAAGGAUAUUAUGUCAUUCUGUUAGCAUCUUGUUCAUAUAUUCUCGUUAAUGUGUUCGUAUUACUAAUUUCAUCCUUGUUUGUUUUCAUUUUUUCCUUGCACCCUAUGUGACACGUGACGAUUAAAGCUUGAUCAUAUUGGCAGCCAGUCUUUUAUUUGCUCAUCCAAGAAGACUUGGACGAGAAGAAGUCGCCAGGCAGCUGCAGAACAAACAGGAAAUAAUGGAGGAGCAUAUCUUAAACCAAAAAUGUUAAUUCUUUACCUCACGCUGUCAAAAAGCAUUCGUUUGUUUCUAGUUUUCUGUUGUUGUGCCGUGCCACCUCCUGCCAGCACUCGUGUCAGGUCGUUCUCGAAGACUCCGUUUUCAGGUGGUUUGUGGUGAGGACGCCUAUACUUACAAAGAUCACUAAGAGUGUCAUCCUUCCUUGUACACCUUUCCUUUACAACAUAUCUGCCUCUUCUUAUUGAAAAUGCUAGUAUAAGGACUCAUUGGACACCGAUCAAAGUUCAGGGACCUAAUUGAAAAGUGUGGUAGAGUAUACGUAAUGUACAGAUCUCCGUAGUACACGUCUGGUACAGCGAUGCUCUCUAAUAAGUGUGACGGCCUUGUAAAGACGGUGGCACCGGUUGGCGCAUGUAGCAAAUAAAAAUAAGAUCGGAACCCUCACAUUUCAUAUCUGCGUUGAUUUGGUCCGUCUUCUCUCUCUUUAAUCCCAACGGUGCCUCUGCCGUUACUGCAUUCGUCUCCCUUUUCGUCUCACCAACCCGCUACUCCCCUUUCCCCUUCUCACUCUUCCCUCGCGCCGCUUCGCUCUCGGAUUCCUUCUCUCACUACCAAAGCAUGAGCCUCAGCGACUCGCAGCAGCGACGGCCGCAGCGGCAAUCCGUCUUCUCCGGUGCCGAUCCCGCCUGCAUCGACAACGACGGCCACGAGGAGAACGGAGACAGCAGCGACCCGUCGCUGCCGCCGCCGACACCCGCCGCGGCGGGGCAGGCGAGCAGGCAUUGGCGGGACGUCUUUUGGCUCUGCGUCUUCCUCCUCCACCUCCUCGUUUUCGGGUUCGCGCUCGCGCUCCUCGGGAUCAACCGCUUCAACCGCGCCGACCGGCUCAACAUCGAUCGCUUCACCAAUCUCACUGGCGGGGCCAACUUCAGCCAGGCUUCGUUUGUCCAGUACCUGAAGCAGACCGAUACGGCGGAGCUCACGGAGACGUAUUGGCCGUUCUACGGGGUGGCUGGCGGAGCCAGCGUGCUGUUGGCGUGGGCGUGGCUGUCGCUGCUGCGUAUCCGAGCCAGCCAGAUGAUGAAGGUGUCUAUCCAUAUCCUCACCACCUAUCUCGCUGUCGUCAGCGUCUUGUGCUUCUGGGCAGAACACUUCUUCUGGGGCGUGGUCUUUGCGGUCGGCGCGGCGCUGCAAUUCCUGUAUGUCAUGUCGGUAUUGGACAGGUUUCCUUUCACAAUGCUAGUGCUACAAAAGGCUGUGAAGAUGGUCUUGGCCAUUCCCGAUUUGAUGCGAGUAGCCUAUGCUUUUAUGAUAAUUAUGCUUUGUUGGAUGAUAUUAUGGUCAUUUGGAAUAUCUGGGGUUAUUGCUUCAAGCUUGGAUGACAGUGGAUGUUGGUGGCUUCUUGUGAUAUUUUCUGUCAGUUUAUUUUGGACGGGUGCUGUAUUUUGCAACACAGUCCAUGUUAUAGUAUCCGGCAUGGUCUUCCUUGUUCUCAUGCAUGGUAAUGUAAGUGCAGCAUCAAUGCCUUCAAAGCCACUUUUGAAGUCACUACGUUAUGCUGUGACAACUUCUUUUGGUAGCAUUUGCUAUGGAUCACUUUUUACAGCUGCAAUUCGAACAUUGCGGUGGAAGAUACGAGGAAUUCGGUCGAAGAUUGGCAGCAAUGAAUGUCUCCUAUGCUGUGUUGAUUUCUUGUUUCACCUUGUGGAGACACUAGUUCGUUUCUUCAACAAGUAUGCCUAUGUUGAGAUUGCAGUUAAUGGUAAAGGCUUCAACAGCUCAGCCAGGGAUGCCUGGGAGUUAUUCCAGUCCACUGGCAUUGAAGCUCUUGUUGCCUAUGACUGUUCAGGUGCAGUUCUUCUGAUGGGCAUUAUUUUGGGUGGGCUACUUACUGGAACAUGUACAGGAGUUUGGACAUGGUAUAAGAGGAGUGAUAAACUGAUCAUGGUUGGUUCUACCGCUAUUUUGAUGGGAAUGAUUUUGGUGGGCCUGGCGGUAGUCGUUAUCGAAAGUGCAGUUACAUCUAUAUACGUAUGCUAUGCAGAAGACCCAUUCUUGAUCCAGAGAUGGGAUGCUGAAUUUUUUGACCAGAUGUCAGAGGUAUUACACGAGCGAUUACAGUAUCGAAGUGCAAGAGCCAGACAAGUGAUGGACCAGCGAUUCGAUCAGUUACCAGAUGAAUCACAUGUUUGAUUCUGUGCGAUGGUUUACCAGUUGUAUUCUCAUUCUGAUUUGUUCAUGGCUUUGCAAACAUUGGUACAAUCCAGGAUGGUGCUGAGGGACUCAAAAUCGCAAGUGAAGGCUUCAACUCCAUUUGUGCCAACCUUUCCAAGAACCUACUGCUGCCAAACCCUGGUAAUAAAUUCUCCUGACUUGAGGAUGCCAUCGUUAUUACACUCAUCACCCGUUCUCAUUGACGACGCUGAUGGUGAUAAUGCAGAGGCGGUUUUCCCUUGGUUUAAUGCCACCGAAGACACUAGAGGUAGAUUAGGAGCAAAAAAGGGCGAAUCUUUACAUCCUUUAAAGUAAAUCUUCUUCCACCGAUGCUUGAAUUUCCAAUGGUUGAAAACUUAAAAAGAGGAAAAGUUCCCCCUCUAUCGAGAUGAUGAUAUAUAAUGUAAGUUUUAAUUGUACAGAAGUCCAUUUGGGAAUUUUCGUAUAUAUUAAUUCUAGUGCUUACAUUGUGAACAAUGAAACCCUUUUUUCACUACA